rnacentral:rRNA from 1 species
UACGUAGGGGGCGAGCGUUGUCCGGAUUUAUUGGGCGUAAAGAGCGUGUAGGCGGCCAGGUAGGUCUGCUGUGAAAACUCGAGGCUCAACCUCGAGACGUCGGCGGAAACCAUCUGGCUAGAGUCCGGAAGAGGAGAGUGGAAUUCCUGGUGUAGCGGUGAAAUGCGCAGAUAUCAGGAGGAACACCAAUGGCGAAGGCAGCUCGCUGGAACGGUACUGACGCUGAGGCGCGAAAGCGUGGGGAGCGAACAGG